GGUGGCUCAGUGGUAGAGCGCUUGCCUUGUGUGCAUUAGGCCCUAGGUUCGAUUCCUCAGCACCA
rnacentral:tRNA from 1 species